GAAAGCUGAUAUAUCUGCAGUGAAAACUGUAAAGGUGUACAGAUGAAUGAGUAGUUCUUACAACCAGGAUAAUCUGAGUGUUUUGUUUUCUACUAUAUUAACCUAAAUUCUCACUAUCCCAGAAAAGCUACUGAAUAUACUUUAUCUACUCAAUAAUAUUUGGGAGAGAAACUUAACUAGCAUUAUUCUACCAGUAAAUCUAGCUAUUGUUUUAAACUCAAACCGAGGUAUAACUAUGCUAAACCCAGAAAUCAAGAGGCAUGUUUAAUACAUCAAUCACAUAGUACAUAUAAGAGGGUCUGUACAGAUGCUUCAUAAUGAAAUUCCAGGACUUUCAAGGACUUUUCAAGCACUGUUUUUUUGUUUGUUUUAUGUUUUCAAGUACUAUAGAAGAGAUGUCAUUCAAACAUAUCCUUCAUUUCCAAAAAAAAAAAUAUUCAUUUUUUUUUUUUUUUUUAAACAACCAUUUUAUAUAGCUCCUUUUCCCAGCCAUGAUGGACUAAAUUUGUAUUUCCCAGUCAUUGCUUCAUUUUCACCAUAAUUUCACCAUUGCAUCGUAUUUUCACUCUGCCUAGUGUCAGCCCUUUAUUACAUCCUACUCUGUGCUCACAUGCUGAAUUUUAAUACAGCCAAAUUCCCAAUAAAGCUGUUCUCAUUUACAUGUUUUUUCUGUUUCUGAAAGCAGGACCUCGCACUCGCCGGGCAGUACUGGCCAUUAUCUUCUACAGAAAGUAGCUAAGGCCUCCCUUGCGAGACGAGAAUCUUCACCAUCUGAAUCAUGAGUGCCGGUGCCCGUCGUCAGUCCCCUCUCUCUCCGUUACUGGACCUGGAUCUGGAUCUGGAUCUGGACACUCAUUACCAGCUUGUGCAUCUCACUGCUGAUAUCAUGAUGCUACUUAACUAUCUUCGCAGCACCCCCUCUAGGAAUGGAGAUCCGGGGUUCCCCCCUCUUCUUCGAUACAGAAUCUGCCUACAGCAUCUACAGCAAUCUACAGCAAAUAUGCUGUCCGAAAGAACACGUUAACAUCAAGGGCAACAAGUGCUGAGAUUGUGACGCUGAUGAAAAGGUGGCUGCAGCUGGCUUCAGACCGUGGAGGAGGAUGGAAGAGGUGCAACAAACAGUAGCUUGUCCUGACUAGGAACGCAUAAACCAUU